rnacentral:rRNA from 1 species
CUGGCGGCGUGCCUAACACAUGCAAGUCAAAGGAAAGCGGCUUCGGCCGGGAGUACUUGGCGCAAGGGUGAGUAAUGUAUAGGUAAUCUGCCCUUUGGACUGGGAUAACCCCGAGAAAUCGGGGACAAUACCAGAUGAUGCAGCGGAACCGCAUGGUUAUGUUGUUAAAGAUUUAUCGCCAAAGGAUGAACCUAUAUCCCAUCAGGUAGUUGGUAAGGUAACGGCUUACCAAGCCUACGACGGGUAGCUGGUCUGAGAGGAUGAUCAGCCACAUUGGAACUGAGACACGGUCCAAACUCCUACGGGAGGCAGCAGUGAGGAAUAUUGCGCAAUGGGCGAAAGCCUGACGCAGCAACGCCGCGUGGAUGAUGAAGUUCUUCGGAAUGUAAAGUCCUUUUGUAGAGGAAGAAUAUCUUGGUUUACCAGGACUGACGGUACUCUACGAAUAAGCCACGGCUAAC